GAUCUCCUAGCUCAGCGGUAGAGCGUCGGAUUCCAGUCAGACUGUGUUGCAGGUGAAUCCCGAAGGUCAUCCGUUCAAUCCGGGUGGAGAUCA